UGUAACCUCUGUCUUAAAAACACCUCUCUCCUGUCUUCUCCCUUUGCUUCUUGUCCUUCAGGUCUGAGCUUAAACGUAAUUUUCUUCAUCAAACCUGCUUGGAUCUCAUAGAGGAGAUUAGAUGAUAAUAGCAUCCUUGAAGAUUAUUUUCUCUUCUAACCGGAUGUCUUUUUGAAGAACUGGAAUACCCAAGAGAAGAUAAACCCACAGAAACGUUCCUGUUAACUCACACAGUUAAGCAGAGGAAGGCACCUACAAAAGACUUCAUAGAAAGGGUCUGCCAUUGAAAUUUGGAAACAAAACAUCAAGUCUUUAACAACAUUCAGAUCCAUCUAUCAGGUCUAAAUUUAGCCAUAUAUUAUCUAGGUCAAUACAGUACUUGCUGGUCAUGAUAAGCAGAUAAAAUUUUUUUUGAAGUUCUACAACAAAGUCAGAAUGUUAUCUGGGAUUUGUGGAGCCACCCUAAAGACAGAAAUUCUACUUCACCUGUGAAUGAUACAGGGGAUUUCUAAGAAGAGAUGGUUUUUCGCUUCCUUCAGACUUCAGGACCUGGAGGCUGAGCUUCUCUCUUCCUUUCAGGGAGGGUAUCAGUCUGGAUAGAAAAACUUCAAGUUUGGAAGCCACAUGAUAUUAAGAUUGAAUAUAAGUUCUCCUGCUUAGUAGUUAAGUUUGGGUAAAUUCUUAACUUCUAGGAUUAAGUUCCUCA
rnacentral:lncRNA from 1 species